GCCUGUUACUGUUCAUUGCUUGGUCAAAUUUUUGAACUUCCCAAAUUGCCCAUGUUGUGGGUGAGGUGGCAGACAACAAGGAGGGUUAGGAACGUAAAUGCAGAAAGAAUGGUGAGGUGGAAGAUCAUGGAGAGAGCAAGAGAAGAGACGGACGCCUGGCUUCUGCCGACACCGAGAAAAAAUGAGAGAGAAGAGAACAAGGAAGAAAGCAAGAAAACAGAAGAAAAGAAGAAGAAGAGGGAGACGGGAAGUCAGCACAGGUGCAUGAUGGUCGAUUUGAACAGAAAUCGAGUAAACUGAUCAUCCCAGAAGCUUUCACCUUUGUGUAGAACGGCAACAAGAUGGAGCUAUUAGGACAAAAGUAAGCUCUUGGUUAGAUGAUACCCACAAUUGUGCAUUCGACCAACUGCGAGUUGUCAAAGUAAGCGACAUUUCCGGCAUGAAAGCUGAACUAGCACUCAUCAGAAACAACGAUGCAGACAUUCAAGAUUAUGACAUGAAAGUCAGUUGGUAAUAUACUAUGUUAAUUAGGGUACUGCUAUCACAAAGAAUUGAAUUUUGCUUCCUCAUCUCCUAUAAUUUUAAAGCAUCUGUUUGAGCUGCUUAGUGCAGUGUUAUUUCUUUGUUAUUGACAGGUUAUGUCUUCUGUGGAGUUGGUCCAAUAGCUAUCUCUGCAGCAUAGAUUGUAGGACGAGUUUAUGCUGCUAAAUAUCUGCAAGGAAAUAGUGGUCUCAACAACCUCGAUAGGAAGAUUAAGUGCUUCUACUCCUGCUGAAUUGUACAUGCAAGAUUAUCUUCCCUGUCAGUGCUUCUACUCCUGCUGAAUUGUAAAUGAAAGAAUAUCUCCAUUUGUAAUGAAAGAUCAGUUUGUGUUUUCACUUCCAUUUGUAAUAUCUUCUGUAUAUACAAUAAAAUCCUUUUUCAUUUACAAGAUUUGUUACAAUAUAAAAUAAUCAUAAUAAAUCAAACAUAAAUUAAUCGCCGCACUUCCGCACGCGCGCAAGCGCGUGCAGGAAGG